GUGUCAGCAGCCGCGGUAAUACGUAGGGGGCGAACGUUGCUCGGAAUUACUGGGCGUAAAGGGUGUGUAGGUGGCUGAGCAAGUCGAAGAUGAAAUCCCAGGGCUCAACCCUGGAAUUGUCUUUGAUACUGUUCAGCUUGAGGGUGGUCGAGGAAGACGGAAUUCCCGGUGGAGCGGUGAAAUGCGUAGAUAUCGGGAGGAACACCGGAGGCGAAGGCGGCCUCCUGGGCCACGACUGACGCUGAGGAGCGAAAGCUGGGGGAGCGAACAGGAUUAGAUACCCUGGUAGUCCCAGCCGUAAACGAUGGGCACUAGGUGUGGGGGGUUACCAACUCCCUCCGUGCCGAAGCUAACGCAUUAAGUGCCCCGCCUGGGGAGUACGGCCGCAAGGUUAAAACUCAAAUGAAUUGACGGGG
rnacentral:rRNA from 1 species